CCUACGGGAGGCAGCAGUGAGGAAUAUUGGUCAAUGGGCGAGAGCCUGAACCAGCCAAGUCGCGUGAGGGAGUACUGCCCUAUGGGUUGUAAACCUCUUUUGUCGGGGAGCAAAAGCCGGACGUGUCCGGCUGUGAGAGUACCCGAAGAAAAAGCAUCGGCUCACUCCGUGCCAGCAGCCGCGGUAAUACGGAGGAUGCGAGCGUUAUCCGGAUUUAUUGGGGUUAAAGGGUGCGCAGGCGGAUUUUUAAGUCAGCGGUCAAAUCGUGGGGCUCAACCCCAUCCAGCCGUUGAAACUGGGGAUCUAGAGUGUGCGAGAGGUAUGCGGAAGGCGUGGUGUAGCGGUGAAAUGCAUAGAUAUCACGCAGAACCCCGAUUGCGAAGGCAGCAUACCGGUGCACAACUGACGCUCAGGCACGAAAGCGUGGGUAUCGAACAGGAUUAGAUACACUUGUAGUC
rnacentral:rRNA from 1 species